rnacentral:rRNA from 1 species
GAAUUCGCCCUUAGAGUUUGCUUCUGGGUCAGGAUGAACGCUGGCGGCGCGCCUAACACAUGCAAGUCGAACGGAGAUUAUUAUGAAGUACCUUCGGGUGCGGAUGAUGAUCUUAGUGGCGAACGGGUGAGUAACACGUGAAGAACCUGCCUUUCAGAGGGGGAUAACACUUAGAAAUAGGUGCUAAUACCGCAUAAGACCACAAUGCCACAUGGCGAAGGGUCAUAGGAGAAAUCCGCUGAGAGAUGGCUUCGCGCCCGAUUAGGCAGUUGGUGAGGUAACGGCCCACCAAACCUACGAUCGGUAGCCGGACUGAGAGGUCGAUCGGCCACAUUGGGACUGAGACACGGCCCAGACUCCUACGGGAGGCAGCAGUGGGGGAUAUUGCACAAUGGGGGAAACCCUGAUGCAGCGACGCCGCGUGAGGGAAGAAGGUUUUCGGAUUGUAAACCUCUGUCUUCGGGGACGAUAAUGACGGUACCCGAGGAGGAAGCCACGGCUAACUACGUGCCAGCAGCCGCGGUAAAACGUAGGUGGCAAGCGUUAUCCGGAAUUACUGGGUGUAAAGGGAGCGCAGGUGGGAUGGUAAGUCAAAUGUGAAAUGUAUGGGCUCAACCCAUAAAUUGCGUUUGAUACUAUUGUUCUUGAGUGGAGUAGAGGCAGGCGGAAUUCCCGGUGUAGCGGUGGAAUGCGUAGAUAUCGGGAGGAAUACCAGUGGCGAAGGCGGCCUGCUGGGCUCUAACUGACACUGAGGCUCGAAAGCGUGGGUAGCAAACAGGAUUAGAUACCCUGGUAGUCCACGCUGUAAACGAUGAU